CUACGGGUUGCAGCAGUGGGGAAUCUUGCACAAUGGGCGAAAGCCUGAUGCAGCGACGCCGCGUGGAGGAUGAAGGUCUUCGGAUUGUAAACUCCUGUUAAGUGGGAAGAAAGUAGUAUGAGUAAUAUUCAUACCAGAUGACGGUACCACUAGAGAAAGCUCCGGCUAACUUCGUGCCAGCAGCCGCGGUAAUACGAAGGGAGCGAGCGUUAUUCGGAAUUACUGGGCGUAAAGGGCGCGUAGGCGGUCUAUUAAGUCAGUUGUUAAAGACCAUGGCUUACCCAUGGAAAAGCAAUUGAUACUGGCAGACUGAGAGGACAAGAGAGAGAAGUGGAAUUCUCGGAGUAGCGGUAAUAUGCGUAGAUCUCGAGAGGAACACCGAUGGCGAAGGCAGCUUCUUGGCUUGUACCUGACGCUGAGGCGCGAAAGCGUGGGGAGCAAACAGGAUUAGAUACCCUUGUAGUC
rnacentral:rRNA from 1 species